GAUGAACGCUGGCGGCGUGCCUAAUACAUGCAAGUCGAGCGAACAGACGAGAGUUCUUGCACUCUCUGGCGUUAGCGGCGGACGGGUGAGUCGCACGUGGCUAGCCUACCUAUAAGAGUGGGAUAACUUCGGGAAACCGGAGCUACUACCAGAUAAUCUUUAGCUUCGCAUGAGGCAAUAGUGAUAGGCGGUUCUGCUGUCGCUUAGAGAUGGACCCGCGGGGUAUUAGCUAGUUGGUGAGGUAACGGCUCACCAAGGCAACGAUAGAUAGCCGACCUGAGAGGGGGGUAGGCGACACUGGGACGGAGACGCGGCCCAGACGCCUGCGGGAGGCAGCAGUAGGGAAUGUGACGCAAUGGUGGAAAGUAUGACGGAGCAAUGCCGCGUGAGUGACGAAGGUGUCCGGAGCGUAAUACUCUGUUGUAAGGGAAGAACAAGUACGGUAGUAACUGAACGGACCUUGACGGUAACUGAUAAGAAAGCCACGGCUAACUACGUG
rnacentral:rRNA from 1 species